UACGUAGGGGGCUAGCGUUGUCCGGAAUCAUUGGGCGUAAAGAGCGUGUAGGCGGUCCGGUAAGUCCGCUGUGAAAGUCGGGGGUUCAACCCUCGAAUGCCGGUGGAUACUGUCGGGCUAGAGUGCGGAAGAGGCGAGUGGAAUUCCUGGUGUAGCGGUGAAACGCGCAGAUAUCAGGAGGAACACCUAUUGCGAAGGCAGCUCGCUGGGACGUAACUGACGCUGAGACGCGAAAGCGUGGGGAGCAAACAGG
rnacentral:rRNA from 1 species